rnacentral:rRNA from 1 species
GUGUGACUGCGUACCUUUUGUAUAAUGGGUCAGCGACUUAUAUUCUGUAGCAAGGUUAACCGAAUAGGGGAGCCGAAGGGAAACCGAGUCUUAACUGGGCGUUAAGUUGCAGGGUAUAGACCCGAAACCCGGUGAUCUAGCCAUGGGCAGGUUGAAGGUUGGGUAACACUAACUGGAGGACCGAACCGACUAAUGUUGAAAAAUUAGCGGAUGACUUGUGGCUGGGGGUGAAAGGCCAAUCAAACCGGGAGAUAGCUGGUUCUCCCCGAAAGCUAUUUAGGUAGCGCCUCGUGAAUUCAUCUCCGGGGGUAGAGCACUGUUUCGGCAAGGGGGUCAUCCCGACUUACCAACCCGAUGCAAACUGCGAAUACCGGAGAAUGUUAUCACGGGAGACACACGGCGGGUGCUAACGUCCGUCGUGAAGAGGGAAACAACCCAGACCGCCAGCUAAGGUCCCAAAGUCAUGGUUAAGUGGGAAACGAUGUGGGAAGGCCCAGACAGCCAGGAUGUUGGCUUAGAAGCAGCCAUCAUUUAAAGAAAGCGUAAUAGCUCACUGGUCGAGUCGGCCUGCGCGGAAGAUGUAACGGGGCUAAACCAUGCACCGAAGCUGCGGCAGCGACGCUUAUGCGUUGUUGGGUAGGGGAGCGUUCUGUAAGCCUGCGAAGGUGUGCUGUGAGGCAUGCUGGAGGUAUCAGAAGUGCGAAUGCUGACAUAAGUAACGAUAAAGCGGGUGAAAAGCCCGCUCGCCGGAAGACCAAGGGUUCCUGUCCAACGUUAAUCGGGGCAGGGUGAGUCGACCCCUAAGGCGAGGCCGAAAGGCGUAGUCGAUGGGAAACAGGUUAAUAUUCCUGUACUUGGUGUUACUGCGAAGGGGGGACGGAGAAGGCUAUGUUGGCCGGGCGACGGUUGUCCCGGUUUAAGCGUGUAGGCUGGUUUUCCAGGCAAAUCCGGAAAAUCAAGGCUGAGGCGUGAUGACGAGGCACUACGGUGCUGAAGCAACAAAUGCCCUGCUUCCAGGAAAAGCCUCUAAGCAUCAGGUAACAUCAAAUCGUACCCCAAACCGACACAGGUGGUCAGGUAGAGAAUACCAAGGCGCUUGAGAGAACUCGGGUGAAGGAACUAGGCAAAAUGGUGCCGUAACUUCGGGAGAAGGCACGCUGAUAUGUAGGUGAAGCGACUUGCUCGUGGAGCUGAAAUCAGUCGAAGAUACCAGCUGGCUGCAACUGUUUAUUAAAAACACAGCACUGUGCAAACACGAAAGUGGACGUAUACGGUGUGACGCCUGCCCGGUGCCGGAAGGUUAAUUGAUGGGGUUAGCGCAAGCGAAGCUCUUGAUCGAAGCCCCGGUAAACGGCGGCCGUAACUAUAACGGUCCUAAGGUAGCGAAAUUCCUUGUCGGGUAAGUUCCGACCUGCACGAAUGGCGUAAUGAUGGCCAGGCUGUCUCCACCCGAGACUCAGUGAAAUUGAACUCGCUGUGAAGAUGCAGUGUACCCGCGGCAAGACGGAAAGACCCCGUGAACCUUUACUAUAGCUUGACACUGAACAUUGAGCCUUGAUGUGUAGGAUAGGUGGGAGGCUUUGAAGUGUGGACGCCAGUCUGCAUGGAGCCGACCUUGAAAUACCACCCUUUAAUGUUUGAUGUUCUAACGUUGACCCGUAAUCCGGGUUGCGGACAGUGUCUGGUGGGUAGUUUGACUGGGGCGGUCUCCUCCUAAAGAGUAACGGAGGAGCACGAAGGUUGGCUAAUCCUGGUCGGACAUCAGGAGGUUAGUGCAAUGGCAUAAGCCAGCUUGACUGCGAGCGUGACGGCGCGAGCAGGUGCGAAAGCAGGUCAUAGUGAUCCGGUGGUUCUGAAUGGAAGGGCCAUCGCUCAACGGAUAAAAGGUACUCCGGGGAUAACAGGCUGAUACCGCCCAAGAGUUCAUAUCGACGGCGGUGUUUGGCACCUCGAUGUCGGCUCAUCACAUCCUGGGGCUGAAGUAGGUCCCAAGGGUAUGGCUGUUCGCCAUUUAAAGUGGUACGCGAGCUGGGUUUAGAACGUCGUGAGACAGUUCGGUCCCUAUCUGCCGUGGGCGCUGGAGAACUGAGGGGGGCUGCUCCUAGUACGAGAGGACCGGAGUGGACGCAUCACUGGUGUUCGGGUUGUCAUGCCAAUGGCACUGCCCGGUAGCUAAAUGCGGAAGAGAUAAGUGCUGAAAGCAUCUAAGCACGAAACUUGCCCCGAGAUGAGUUCUCCCUGACCCUUUAAGGGUCCUGAAGGAACGUUGAAGACGACGACGUUGAUAGGCCGGGUGUGUAAGCGCAGCGAUGCGUUGAGCU